rnacentral:rRNA from 1 species
UCCAGCUCGUCGGCUACGGUCUCGAAUUGUAAGUUCAGGUUGAAAGGAUGCGGGAUUUCACAGACAUCCAGUUGCUUGGGUUAGUAAGAUCCACUCGUUCAAAGAGUUCGUAAUAGCUCACUGGUCGAGUGUUCCUGCGCCGAAGAUUUCCGGGGCGAAAACUUACUACCGAAGCUACGGCAUCAGUAAUGAUGGGUAGGGGAGCUUCCCAUAUGGGUUGAAGCAUGACAGUAAGGACAUGUGGACAGUAUGGGAGUGAGAAUGAUGGCCUGGGUAGCGUGAUGGCGGUGAGAGUGCGACAGGCGGUAUACCCAAGGUGUCCAGGGGAAGGUGCGUCCUCCCUGGGGUAGUCGGGACCUAAGCUGAGGCAGAAAGGCGUAGGUGAUGGAAAAAAGGUUGAUAUGCCUGUACUAACGAUAACCGUUUGAGAGAAGGGAUGACACAGUAGGAUAAGCUAAGCAAACUGUUGGUUAUGUGUGCCCAAGCAGUGAGGAAGUAAAAGUAGGCAAAUCCGCUUUGAUAAUGCUGGGAUGUGA